CUCCGGUGAUCCUGCCGGGACCCGACUGCUAUCGGAUUGAGAUUUAGCCAUGCGAGUCGAACGUCCCCCUGUUGCGGGGGGCGUGGCGUACGGCUCAGUAACACGUAGUCAACCUGCCCUGGAGACAAGGACAACCCCGGGAAACUGGGAUUAAUCCUUGAUAGGUCAUCUCAUCUGGAAGGAGAGAUGGCUUAAAGGGGUACGCGGGCUUCUUCCGCGAAUUCGCUCCAGGAUGGGACUGCGUCCGAUCAGGCUGUUGGCGGGGUAAUGGCCCACCAAACCUGUAACCGGUACGGGCCUUGAGAGAGGUGGCCCGGAGAUGGACACUGAGAGAAGGGUCCAGGUCCUACGGGGCGCAGCAGGCGCGAAACCUUCGCAAUGCGCGAAAGCGUGACGAGGUUAAUCCGAGUGACUCCCGCUGAGGGGGUCUUUUGUCAGCUGUAAAUAGGCAGGCGAAUAAGGGGAGGGCAAGCCUGGUGUCAGCCGCCGCGGUAAUACCAGCUCCUCGAGUGGUCGGGGCGAUUAUUGGGCCUAAAGCAUCCGUAGCCGGUUCCGUAGGUCCUCUGUUAAAUCCAACCGCUUAACGGUUGACCUGCAGAGGAUACCGCGGGACUAGGAGGCGGGAGAGGCGGACGGUAUUCCGCGUGUAGGGGUAAAAUCCUUUGAUCCGCGGAGGACCACCAGUGGCGAAGGCGGUCCGCCAGAACGCGCUCGACGGUGAGGGAUGAAAGCUGGGGGAGCGAACCGGAUUAGAUACCCGGGUAGUCCCAGCCGUAAACGAUGCUAGCUAGAUGAUUCAUUCGCAAGUCGCGAAUGAAGUGUCGCAGGGAAGCCGUUAAGCUAGCCGCCUGGGGAGUACGGUCGCAAGACUGAAACUUAAAGGAAUUGGCGGGGGAGCA
rnacentral:rRNA from 1 species